CCUACGGGUGGCAGCAGUGGGGAAUAUUGCACAAUGGGCGAAAGCCUGAUGCAGCAACGCCGCGUGAGCGAUGAAGGUCUUCGGGUCGUAAAGCUCUGUCCUAAGGGAAGAAUACUGACGGUACCUUAGGAGGAAGACCCGGCUAACUACGUGCCAGCAGCCGCGGUAAUACGUAGGGGGCUAGCAUUAUCCGGAAUUACUGGGCGUAAAGGGUGCGUGGGCGGCCCUUCAAGUCAGAGGUGAAAGGCUACGGCUCAACCGUAGUAAGCCUUUGAAACUGUAGGGCUUGAGUGCAGGAGAGGAGAGUGUAAUUCCCAGUGUAGCGGUGAAAUGCGUAGAUAUUGGGGGGAACACCAGUUGCGAAGGCGGCUCACUGGACUGUAAGUGACGCUGAGGCACGAAAGCGUGGGUAGAGAACAGGAUUAGAUACCCAUGUAGUC
rnacentral:rRNA from 1 species